CAAUACGUCAGCGGCAGACGGGUGAGUAACGCGUGGGAACGUACCUUUUGGUUCGGAAUAGCUCAGGGAAACUUGAAUUAAUACCGGAUAAGCCCUUACGGGGAAAGAUUUAUCGCCGAAAGAUCGGCCCGCGUCUGAUUAGCUAGUUGGUGAGGUAACGGCUCACCAAGGCGACGAUCAGUAGCUGGUCUGAGAGGAUGAUCAGCCACAUUGGGACUGAGACACGGCCCAA
rnacentral:rRNA from 1 species